rnacentral:lncRNA from 1 species
CUUGAACCCGGGAGGCGGAGGCUGCAGUGAGCUGAGAUAGCACCACUACAUUCCAGCCUGGGCAACAGAGUGAGACUCUGUCUCAAAAAAAGAAAAAAGAAAAGAAACUUGGAAGCCAUUUCAGAAAGACUCCAGGAAGGCCAGCAGCCACUCCUGCACAACCAGGGGGAAGGGCUACAUUUUACUGCAAGCAGCUGUUUUCUCUGAUCCUUCUUUGUAAGGAAGUGCAGUGAUUUUGUGUUUUGAAGGAAGACUUGAAGAAGCAGUUGGGUAGGUAUUCCAAUAGGACUGAUGGGGAGGAAAUCAGAUACUCCAUGAGAAGGAUUUCAGACCUGGUAGAGUCAGAAUACAUUCUGCUUUCAGGAUUUUUGAGAUUGCUGAUGGUCCCAGGGUUUAUACAAGGACUUGGAUCUGGCUAUAGAAACUCAGGUAGAAAUUACAUGUAUGCAGAUCAGCACUGAUGUUGGUUCUAAUCUAUAAUGAUGUGAUAAAUUAAAAAAACAAAACAAAAAACAGGGCUGGGCAUGGUGGCUUACACUAUAAUCCCAGUACUUUGGAAUGCCAAGGCAGGAGCAUCAUCUGAACCCAGGAUUUCAAGUCCAGCCUAGGCAACAUAGUGAGAUCAUGUCUCUACAAAAAAUACAAAAAAAAUUAGCCUGUUGUGGUGGCACACAGUUGUACUCCCAGCUACAAGCUGAGGCUGAGGCAAAAGGAUCACUUGUGCCCAGGAGUUUGAGGCUGCAGUGAACUAUGAUCAUGCCACUGUACUCCAGCCUGGGUGACAGAGCCAGACCCUGUCUCUCCUUAACAAAAAAAAGUAGAGCCAGAUGUAUCUUUUUGGGUCCCAGGCAGGAGACUGGAGAAUCUGGGUCACUGUAAUCUGGCAGACUGGCUGCAUUUUGUGAGGGUACUUUUAUUCAUAUUUAUUUAUUUUUGUUUGUUUGAAUGCAUUAUUAUUUUUUUAAUAGAAACCACAUCACUUCAUUUGUUACAGCGAAUAAUUCAAGAGGGUCCCAGAAAGCUUUUUCAUCCACAGAAUUACAGAAAGGAUAAGCACCCUCACCACCCAAGCCUUUGGUUCAUUUUUUAUUUUUUCAAGACGGAGUCUUGCUCUGUCACCCAGGCUGGAGUGUGGUGGCGCGAUCUCAGCUUACUGCAACCUCCAUCUCCCGGUUUCA